rnacentral:rRNA from 1 species
UGGGGAAUAUUGCACAAUGGGCGAAAGCCUGAUGCAGCAACGCCGCGUGCGGGAUGACGGCCUUCGGGUUGUAAACCGCUUUCAGCAGGGACGAAGGUUUUCUGACGGUACCUGCAGAAGAAGCACCGGCUAACUACGUGCCAGCAGCCGCGGUGAUACGUAGGGUGCGAGCGUUGUCCGGAAUUAUUGGGCGUAAAGAGCUUGUAGGCGGUCCGUUGCGUCGGAAGUGAAAACUCAGGGCUUAACCCUGAGCCUGCUUUCGAUACGGGCGGACUUGAGGGAUGUAGGGGAGAACGGAAUUCCUGGUGGAGCGGUGGAAUGCGCAGAUAUCAGGAGGAACACCAGUGGCGAAGGCGGUUCUCUGGACAUUUCCUGACGCUGAGAAGCGAAAGUGUGGGGAGCAAACAGGCUUAGAUACCCUGGUAGUCCACGCCGUAAACGGUGGGCACUAGGUGUGGGACCCAUUCCACGGGUUCCGUGCCGUAGCUAACGCAUUAAGUGCCCCGCCUGGGGAGUACGGCCGCAAGGCUAAAACUCAAAGGAAUUGACGGGGUCAU